GUUGGCGGGCAAAGCUCCUCUCCAAAGGAGACAGGCUCAUAUUACUAUCUGCAGUCCUAGAUUCAAUCUUGGUCUAUUUUAUGUCUGUCUUCCUCAUUCCCAAAAGCGUUCUUAAAACCCUCGAUUCCAUUAGACGUGCUUUCUUCUGGGCUGCAGAAGAAACUUGUACUGGUGCUCAAUGUCUAGUUGCCUGGAAAAAUGUCUGUAAACCAAAAAUGUGUGGUGGUCUAGGCCUAAAAAACCUGCAUAAACAGAACAAAUGCUUGCUCAUGAAAUUCGCUGUCAAAGCUCUUAAUCCAGAACAAUCUCCAUGGCUUGACUGGAUCACUUUGCAACACCCAAAUGCCCUCCUCACCCCACAAAACAGUCACUCAUUUAUCUGCCAAACAAUAAACCAGCAACUACCAGCCCUCCAUGCCAUCUCCUUUGUACUCACAAACUCUGGCACCAACACAUAUUUCUGGUUAGACAAAUGGAUCCACCAAACACCCCUCGCCACUUUAUUCCCAUGCCUAUACUCUCAUACCACUACACCCCUCGCUCGUGUGGCUACUGUUUUUAACUAUGGUUUAGAUUCA
rnacentral:rRNA from 1 species